AUGAUAGUGAUGCUUCGAGCAGUGAAGAUGACUUGAGUCCUCAAGUGCCUCGAGCUGUCCUUUGUAAAGAGGCUGUUUAUAAGGCACACCAUAAAGGAACAGUUUCGAGCAAGAAGAAAAAGCAAGC